UCCCUGUAAAGAUUGGGGAAAAAAGAAAAAGAAGUGUUUGUGUUAAACACUGACCUUGCUGCAUUGCUACUGUGGGGCAAUAGAAGUCAUAGAACAUUCCAGUGUCCAUCUACUGUGAACAACUUUCCAGUUAGAGACAAGGCAUGCUGAGAUAAUCAUUCAGACAAAUCAAGCCUCAAUCUUCUCAAAGAGCAAAGCAGGGGUCAGGAAGAGAAUCCUCCUCUUGGAUUUACAGUGAACUGCUGGCUCACAACAGAGCUUAUUUCUGUGGAACAGCAAGCACUGCCCUAUUGCCUGGGGCAGUCUUCUGGAUGAGCUGGGGAAUGCAGAACCCAAGCAGAGACUGGUGCGGUAAUGUAAAGGAGGAGCCAAAAGCAGAGUUUAGAUCCCCUGAAACUCAGGCCUUCACUUGUUUCUGGCCAUAGCAUAAAUCACUCCCUCCAAGCAUUUAUGAAUGGGAAGACAUCCUGUGGAAACCUUCAGCAGUGACUAGACUCACAAUUCUCCACACCAUGCACAAGGAAUGUUAUCAGAAGAUAUGGGAACAGGAUGGUGCUGAGAGCAGGACCUGCACAUCUUCUCUCUUCCAUGAAGGAUGUGAGCUCUCCCCUGUUGCAUUUCUCAGAAGAAGCAAAAAGCGAGACCGUGGCUCGUCAGGUGAGAAUGGGAUAGUCACAUACCUGUCCAGCUGAACAGAAACAGGAUAGUUCAAGAUAAAGAGUAAUUACAGAAAAACUUCCUCCUUUUGCCUUUGAUAUGCCUCUGGAGGAGCCCUAACAAGGCAAAUGAACUUUCUAACUGAUCUGCUACCACCCAGGUGAGGCAUGUAGAGACAAAUUUCACUUGUAGGGCAGGCAACUGACUCUGCAUCAGCAACAAACCUGGGAAAUCAGAUUGGAGACUGAGAGACUUCUUAAAAUCACGCAAAUCUGGGAUUUGUCCUCCGAAAAACCUGAUUGCAGCACUGAGAAUGUACUGCUUCUCCAGAGCACCAACAAAACUAAUCGUAUCAGAGAACGGAUACGAUGGCCACAAGCAGUUUUUUCCAACAGAUGUCCUGAGGACUCACCUGCCCAGGUGCUCUGGCCUUCGUUUCCCACAGCUCAUAGCUCCUUCUCUGCCACCUCCCAGAGCCUGCAGCAGCAUCACUGCAGCAGCAUCACUGCAGCAGCAUCACUGCAGCAGCAUCACUGAGCACAGUGACAAAUGCUGCUGAGCUGCUGCUGCUGCCAGCAGUGUCUGCACCUGCUCCUUGCCAAAACCAGCCCACAGCCUGAGCUUUUGCUUUCCUCACGCCUCAUCCUGCCAAAGCAGCUUCCUUGAGAUCAUGUUUCAAAUAAUAUUUUACUAAAAUUCUGAUCUUUUUUCUUAUUCUUGCCUCUAUCUUCUCUUCCUUGUCUAAUUUCUGAUCACUUGCUGUUUGUGUGUUUUUUUUUUUUUUUGUUUUUUUUUUUUUUUUUUUUUUUGCUACAAGCUCUUUGUUCUGAUUAAAUGAAAAAGUGGUAAGACAGACUGAACUGGAUGAGCUGUCAAACACCUAGAAAACAUUCCAGCAUAAAAGUAUUUUCAAAAUAAACACUUCCCUAAGAGAAGACUUGACAAACAGCCUGAACAAUAAAAUUCUUGAACACCACCCAGUUGAUGGGACUCUUUUCUGGGCUAAUU